rnacentral:lncRNA from 10 species
UUAUUUUAUUCUCAGAACUGAGUGGAAAUAAGACAUAUAGGAGACCAACAAAAGGGAUCAAGAUGUCAGAUUUGAUAAGCAAUUGAUAAAGAGAUUUAGAAGUGUGGCUUUAGACCUGUGGCUCAAAUAGUGGUUUGAAAGCAGAAUCAAGGAUUAAUCAAAGUGACUUCAUCAUCUCCGUAUCAGAGACCGUUUAUAAUACUGUCCAAAGUGCUGAAUGCUUGUUAUAUGGAGGCAGAUAAUUUGAUGGAGCUACAUCUAACUUGACGUAGAGACCACAGUGUGUCACCAGAGAUUCUGGCCUCCUGAGCUGGAUGCAGAAACUGAGAGAACUUGGAGUUGACUCCCAUGGGGAGUGGGUACCUCCUCAGGAAACUCUGAAAAAG